GCAGCAGGCCGUCUUAUCGCUCUAAAGCAAUUUGGAGAGGAAAGUCCGGACACCAUAGGGAAGCAUAACGGUUAACGGCCGUCGUUCGCCUCAGGCGAAUAGGACUAGUGCAACAGAAAGAAUGUACAGGUAAUGCUGUAGUGAAACCAGGUAAACUCUAUGCGGUGAAAUGCCACGUAAACCAGCGUUAAGGGUUCCCGCCCGAUGCUGGAGGGUAGGCAGCUAGAGCGUUGCAGUAAUGUAACGUCCAGAUAAAUGAUAAGGGUUCGUCUUAGAUGAAUACAGAAUCCGGCUUAUAGGCCUGCUUUUUUU
rnacentral:RNase_P_RNA from 1 species